AGAGCUUACAAUUGAUCUGACAGUUACACUGAGCUUCACUCCAGGGUUCUCUCUAGAUGUUCAUCCUCCUCUUCAGCUCUGCAAGGAUACAUAGAGAAUGCUCAGAAGCACAGCCCCCUGCAUGGCUAAAUCAGUGCCUGACCAGCGGCUACAUUAGUGGGCUCUACAUGUAACGGGGUUCUCUCUAGAUGUUCAUCCUCCUCUUCAGCUCUGCAAGGAUACAUAGAGAAUGCUCAGAAGCACAGCCCCCUGCAUGGCUAAAUCAGUGCCUGACCAGCGGCUACAUUAGUGGGCUCUACAUGUAACGGGGUUAGACAGAGACUUGCCCCCUAACAAUGAGGCUGCUAAUCCCC